rnacentral:rRNA from 1 species
GACGAACGCUGGCGGCGUGCUUAACACAUGCAAGUCGAACGGAAAGGCCCUGCUUUUGGGGGGUGCUCGAGUGGCGAACGGGUGAGUAACACGUGAGUAACCUGCCCUUGACUUUGGGAUAACUUCAUGCAACUGGGGCUAAUACCGGGUAGGAGCUCCUGCUGCAUGGUGGGGGUUGGAAAGUUUCGGCGGUUGGGGAUGUACUGGCGGCUUAUUAGCUUGUUGGUUGGGUAGUGUAUUAGCAAGGCCUUGAACGGUAGCCGGCCUGGGCGGGUGACCGGCCCAACUAGGACUGGGAUACGGCCCAGACCCCUACCGGACGCAGAGGAGGGGUAUAGUGCACUAGGGGCGGGGGGCUGGUGCGAUCAAGCCACGCCGCGGGAGACAGGCUUGCGGUUGGAAACCGCUUUCGCCUGUGACGAAGCGUGAGUGACGGUAACGGGUAAAGAAGCACCGGCUAACUACGUG